AUGGUAUAAAUUGGGUUUCAUGGAUUGGUUUCAAUUCUGAAUGCUUUUCUGGAGCCAAAGCUCACCUCAGCACUCUUGGGCUGCAUGCUGUAAUCCUGGGGGAUGGGGGAUUAGUCCUGUGGCUUUGCUCUCUGGCCCCUUGAGAUUAAGCACCUGCUGUGCUGGAGGUGCUGAGGUGUUCCCAGUUCACUUGCAACAACACUCUGGCAGGGGCUGCUGGCAAAAUUGCUCCAGUGGGGCAGUGGGAGUCUCCACACACAUGUGCACCAAUGGAGGAGGCUGCAGAAAGACUUCAAUUAUUUUAUUUGAUGUGCCACUGGACAGACUUGUAAAUGGAAGCUCAAGGAAUUCAGUGAGUUGUCUCUGGAAAAGAGCAGAGCAGAUGAACACAACAGAUGAAGCUAUUAAUGCAGCUUUACCUUACUGACCCAGAGCCCUUCGAGUCUGAGUUUCCUCUGGACCAAGUGGUUAUCUUCUCUAUACAGACUGGGGAUUCUAUCUCCCAAGCAUGCAAUUAACUGCCCCUUUUGAAUAUUCUAUUCCAAGACUCAUUGC
rnacentral:lncRNA from 10 species